rnacentral:snoRNA from 1 species
AGGCAGCCCUCUUGCGAAUGAACAUGGCAGGUGUGGUGUUAUUCUGCUUGGACAUGGGGAUUCCAUUUCUCAUCAGACUUGCUGAGUUGGGUUUUUAACUAACGCCCUUCGCUGAAGCUGGUCUAGUAAGCCUAAGUACAUU